AAUACUCAAAAAUAAAUUACAACUGAAAGUUCUACCUUAAGUAAAUCCAAUCACAUAUUAAAGGUUGCCGCUAAUCUUGAACUGAGCUCAGUAGAGUACUUCCGUGUUUGACUGACUGACUGACU